rnacentral:sRNA from 14 species
GUCAGCACCCUCCUCUGAAGAGACCAGGCGUAGAUAGCCUCCCUUCAGGUAGCUGACCAGCCUAAGACCUUGACCCAAGGGGUUGCCCUUAAGGUAAAGGAUCUACGUUGUUGGCAAGUGUUAAAGUUCCUACCUUGGGGUACUUUGCCCGCUCCAAGCUCUAGA